rnacentral:misc_RNA from 1 species
CGCCGAAGGUGGGGCUAAUGACUGGGGUGAAGUCGUAACAAGGUAGCCGUACCGGAAGGUGCGGCUGGAUCACCUCCUAACAGGGAGACAACAAAAUGUUCAAUAUUAUUAUUUUGUCACCUUAGGUCGAUCGGUAUCUCACGUUUUUAAUUUAUUAAGAAUUUCAUUUCCUAAGUUUUUCUAGGUCACACCCAUUAUUUUUCCUGGGCCAUUAGCUCAGGUGGUUAGAGCGCACCCCUGAUAAGGGUGAGGUCCCUGGUUCAAGUCCAGGAUGGCCCAUAUCUCUAUGUUGGGGGUAUAGCUCAGUUGGUAGAGCGCCUGCUUUGCAAGCAGGAUGUCAGCGGUUCGAGUCCGCUUACCUCCACUGAUUACCACCUCUUCCAUAUUCUUUAGAAAGGAAAUGUUUUGAGUUGUGAUCAAAUUCUGAACGAAUCUAGCUUCCUAAUGAAAUCAUUAAGAUGCUGGACUCAUUGAAUUUAAUUCAUUGUUUUCAGAGAACCUUGACAACUGCAUAGAUUAUUUUUAAAGACAAUAAGCAUCUUUAAUGAUGCAGAUUUAUUAUUUGUGCGAAUGCAUUAAUAACAAUUCUAUUAAGCUGAUGCUUCAAUUUUGAAGUUAUUGGUCAAGCUACAAAGGGCUCACGGAGGAUACCUAGGCACACAGAGGCGAUGA